rnacentral:rRNA from 1 species
CAUGAGUAGCGAUAAUUAAUGUGAGAAUCAUUAACGCCGUAAACCCAAGGUUUCCUACGCGAUGCUCGUCAUCGUAGGGUUAGUCGGGUCCUAAGUCGAGUCCGAAAGGGGUAGACGAUGGCAAAUUGGUUAAUAUUCCAAUACCAACAUUAGUGUGCGAUGGAAGGACGCUUAGGGCUAAGGGGGCUAGCGGAUGGAAGUGCUAGUCUAAGGUCGUAGGAGGUUAUACAGGCAAAUCCGUAUAACAAUACUCCGAGAACUGAAAGGCUUUUUGAAGUCUUCGGAUGGAUAGAAGAACCCCUGAUGCCGUCGAGCCAAGAAAAGUUUCUAAGUUUAGCUAAUGUUGCCCGUACCGUAAACCGACACAGGUGGGUGGGAUGAGUAUUCUAAGGCGCGUGGAAGAACUCUCUUUAAGGAACUCUGCAAAAUAGCACCGUAUCUUCGGUAUAAGGUGUGGUUCGCUUCGUAUUAGGAUUUACUCCGAAAGCGAAGAAACUUACAACAAAGAGUCCCUCCCGACUGUUUACCAAAAACACAGCACUCUGCUAACUCGUAAGAGGAUGUAUAGGGUGUGACGCCUGCCCGGUGCUCGAAGGUUAAUUGAUGGGGUUAGCAUUAGCGAAGCUCUUGAUCGAAGCCCGAGUAAACGGCGGCCGUAACUAUAACGGUCCUAAGGUAGCGAAAUUCCUUGUCGGUUAAAUACCGACCUGCAUGAAUGGCGUAACGAGAUGGGAGCUGUCUCAAAGAGGGAUCCAGUGAAAUUGUAGUGGAGGUGAAAAUUCCUCCUACCCGCGGCAAGACGGAAAGACCCCGUGGACCUUUACUACAGCUUGACACUGCUACUUGGAUAAGAAUGUGCAGGAUAGGUGGGAGGCUUUGAGUAUAUGACGCCAGUUGUAUAUGAGCCAUUGUUGAGAUACCACUCUUUCUUAUUUGGGUAGCUAACCAGCUUGAGUUAUCCUCAAGUGGGACAAUGUCUGGUGGGUAGUUUGACUGGGGCGGUCGCCUCCCAAAUAAUAACGGAGGCUUACAAAGGUUGGCUCAGAACGGUUGGAAAUCGUUCGUAGAGUAUAAAGGUAUAAGCCAGCUUAACUGCAAGACAUACAAGUCAAGCAGAGACGAAAGUCGGUCUUAGUGAUCCGGUGGUUCUGUGUGGAAGGGCCAUCGCUCAAAGGAUAAAAGGUACCCCGGGGAUAACAGGCUGAUCUCCCCCAAGAGCUCACAUCGACGGGGAGGUUUGGCACCUCGAUGUCGGCUCAUCGCAUCCUGGGGCUGGAGCAGGUCCCAAGGGUAUGGCUGUUCGCCAUUUAAAGCGGUACGCGAGCUGGGUUCAGAACGUCGUGAGACAGUUCGGUCCCUAUCUGCCGUGGGCGUAAGAAGAUUGAAGAGAUUUGACCCUAGUACGAGAGGACCGGGUUGAACAAACCACUGGUGUAGCUGUUGUUCUGCCAAGAGCAUCGCAGCGUAGCUAAGUUUGGAAAGGAUAAACGCUGAAAGCAUCUAAGCGUGAAGCCAACUCUAAGAUGAAUCUUCUCUAAGCUCUCUAGAAGACUACUAGUUUGAUAGGCUGGGUGUGUAAUGGAUGAAAGUCCUUUAGCUGACCAGUACUAAUAGAGCGUUUGGCUUAUCUUUAAUAAAGCAU